rnacentral:rRNA from 1 species
AAGCCAUAUGGCGACAUAGAGCGGAACCCGAAAACCUGUCUCAGUUCGGAUUGGAGUCUGCAACCCGACUCCAUGAAGCUGGAUUCGCUAGUAAUCGCGCAUCAGCCACGGCGCGGUGAAUACGUUCCCGGGCCUUGUACACACCGCCCGUCAAGCCAUGGAAGCCGGGAGUGCCUGAAGUGCGUGAGCGCAAGCAGCGCCCUAAGGUAAAACCGGUGACUGGGGCUAAGUCGUAACAAGGUACC